rnacentral:rRNA from 1 species
AGCGAACGCUGGCGGCAGGCUUAACACAUGCAAGUCGAACGGGCACUUCGGUGCUAGUGGCAGACGGGUGAGUAACGCGUGGGAACGUGCCUUUCGGUUCGGAAUAAUCCAGGGAAACUUGGACUAAUACCGGAUACGCCCUUCGGGGGAAAGAUUUAUCGCCGAAAGAUCGGCACGCGUCUGAUUAGCUAGUUGGUUAGGUAAAGGCUCACCAAGGCGACGAUCAGUAGCUGGUCUGAGAGGAUGAUCAGCCACAUUGGGACUGAGACACGGCCCAAACUCCUACGGGAGGCAGCAGUGGGGAAUAUUGGACAAUGGGCGCAAGCCUGAUCCAGCCAUGCCGCGUGAGUGAUGAAGGCCUUAGGGUUGUAAAGCUCUUUUGUCCGGGAAGAUAAUGACUGUACCGGAAGAAUAAGCCCCGGCUAACUUCGUGCCAGCAGCCGCCGUAAAAC